rnacentral:rRNA from 1 species
UACAGAGGGGGCGAGCGUUAUUCGGAAUUAUUGGGCGUAAAGGGCGCGUAGGCGGCUUUGCAAGUGACGGGUGAAAUCCCUCGGCUUAACCGAGGAACUGCCUGUCAAACUGCAUGGCUUGAGACCGGGAGAGGUGAGUGGAAUUCCCAGUGUAGCGGUGAAAUGCGCAGAUAUCAGGAAGAACACCAAUGGCGAAAGCAGCUCUCUGGGACGGUACUGACGCUGAGACGCGAAAGCGUGGGGAGCGAACAGG